rnacentral:rRNA from 1 species
CUUGGUCAUUUAGAGGAAGUAAAAGUCGUAACAAGGUCUCCGUAGGUGAACCUGCGGAGGGAUCAAUAUCGAACCUGGCCCCCUGGCCACGUCUGCCUUGCAAACCCGUGGAAGCGAACCGUGCUUCGGCGCCUCGGCGUCGAGUUUAUGCUGCAGUUGGUAGUUUGCGUCUGAAUCAAACCGAAGAACAUAAAACUUUCAACAGAGGAUCUCUUGGCUCUUGCAACGAUGAAGAACGCAGUCAAGUGCGAUAUGUAGUGCGAUUUGCAUGAAUCUGUGAGUCAUCUAAUCUUUGAACGCAACUUGCGCUGGGCGACCAGCAUGUCUGUCUGAGUGUCGUGAAUUUAAAUGGCGAGCAUAUGCAUAUGCAUAUGCUCGUUGACUUGGCGGCCAGCGAUGCUGCCGCUGAAAUGCAGCAAGACGGGGGACUCGAACGCUGCCCAUCUGCCAGCGACUCUGUCAUCUGGUGGGCAGCCUGGAGCCCCAAACAAAACCUUUGACCUCAGCUUAGGCAAGAUCACCCGCUGAACUUAAGCAUAUCAAUAAGCGGAGGA